AUCAACAGUAAUAGAGUAUUAUAAAUAAUAUGCUACGUAUCAGUCCAUAAUCAACUCGUUAUAAUAUUAUGAACGCGAAAGUUUGUUCGGAUGGAUGCAUGUUUGUUACCACUUCUCCCCCUAACACAACAACGGCUUUCGUCGAAACUUCGCAUAGACCAACAACAACGUAUAGCAGGCUACUUUCUCCGCUCUCCCCCUCCCCCGUAUUCAAGACCUAACGAGUGGAUGGGAAGGGGGGAAACAUUGUUGUUUGGUCA